rnacentral:rRNA from 1 species
CGUUGGGAGCUCUCCCAUAUGGUCGACCUGCAGGCGGCCGCGAAUUCACUAGUGAUUAGAGUUUGAUCAUGGCUCAGAUUGAACGCUGGCGGCAGGCCUAACACAUGCAAGUCGAGCGGUAGAGAGAAGCUUGCUUCUCUUGAGAGCGGCGGACGGGUGAGUAAUGCCUAGGAAUCUGCCUGGUAGUGGGGGAUAACGUUCGGAAACGGACGCUAAUACCGCAUACGUCCUACGGGAGAAAGCAGGGGACCUUCGGGCCUUGCGCUAUCAGAUGAGCCUAGGUCGGAUUAGCUAGUUGGUGGGGUAAUGGCUCACCAAGGCGACGAUCCGUAACUGGUCUGAGAGGAUGAUCAGUCACACUGGAACUGAGACACGGUCCAGACUCCUACGGGAGGCAGCAGUGGGGAAUAUUGGACAAUGGGCGAAAGCCUGAUAAUCGAAUUCCCGCGG